rnacentral:rRNA from 1 species
GACGAACGCUGGCGGCGUGGAUUAGGCAUGCAAGUCGAACGGUAUCAUCCUUUCGGGGGUGAGAGAGUGGCGAACUGGUGAGUAACACGUAGGUUAUCUACCCUCAAGACGGGGACAACCCAGGGAAACUUGGGCUAAUACCGGAUGUGAGCAACUUUUAGUUGUUUGAAAGGUGGCGUAAGCUGUCGCUUGGGGAUGAGCCUGCGUCCUAUUAGUUAGUUGGUGAGGUAACGGCUCACCUAGGCAAUGAUAGGUAGGCGGCCUUAACGGGUGGUCGCCCACACUGGGAUUGAGAUACGGCCCAGACUCCUACGGGAGGCAGCAGUCGAGAAUAGUCUACAAUGGUCGGAAGACUGAUAGUGCGACGCCGCGUGAACGAUGAAUCCCUUCGGGGUGUAAAGUUCUUUUAUAUGUGAGCAGUGCUUCUUAUAUUAACAGUAUGGGGAGAGAGAUAUUAGCAUAUGAAUAAGUAACGGCUAACUCCGUGCCAGCAGCCGCGGUAAUCUCGU